rnacentral:rRNA from 1 species
AUUGAACGCUGGCGGCAGGCCUAACACAUGCAAGUCGAGCGGAUGAAGCGAGCUUGCUCCUGGAUUCAGCGGCGGACGGGUGAGUAAUGCCUAGGAAUCUGCCUGGUAGUGGGGGAUAACGUCCGGAAACGGGCGCUAAUCCCGCAUACGUCCUGAGGGAGAAAGUGGGGGAUCUUCGGACCUCACGCUAUCAGAUGAGCCUAGGUCGGAUUAGCUAGUUGGUGGGGUAAAGGCCUACCAAGGCGACGAUCCGUAACUGGUCUGAGAGGAUGAUCAGUCACACGGGAGCUGGGGCGAGCGGCAACCUCCGGAGGGAGGCAGCAGUGGGGAAUAUUGGGGAGUGGGCGGAAGGCUGAAUUAGGCAUGGCGCGGGUGUGAAGAAGGGCUUCGGAGUGUGAAGCACGUUGAGUUGGGAGGAAGGACAGUAAGUUAAUACCUUGCUGUUUGGACGUUAGCGGCAGAAUAAGCACCGGCUAACUUCGUG